AUCCAUUAGUUUUAAAAUGGGUCAAAAGACAAACCAGAAAAACUGUAGACUAGCAAAUCAGUGAAUUCAACCUUUAUUGUAGAGAAAAUACAAGAUAUUGUGUAAGGGAGAAUGUGGGAGGAAAGAAGUCAGGAAAGGAGUUGGAAAAAUAACAGCUUUAUGAAUCUACACCCAAUUGGCUAGUUUCAAGUUUGGCGUUAUUUUGAAGAGUACUGCUAUGAACAUUCUAGUGCAUGUCUUUUUGGAGUAUACAUGUUUGCAUUUCUGUUGGGAAUGUCAAGUCAAAACGUGCACCAGAUAAAGUUAAACAGGCUGGAAUAAGGAUGGGAUGCUGUAUCUGGGUCUCAAAUGCAUCUUAGAAGAUACGUUAUUUGAUGUUUGCUUCUCUUACGAAGAACUAAGUCUGAUAGAACAAUGAAGAACUCCCACAGGAACAUACCGAGGAAGCCAAGAGAGUCCACAGACCCUUUGAAGAAAGUGGAUUGCUCCUGCAGGCUCCAGGAGACAACUGAAAAACUGUUAAGUCCAACCCUGCUGGACCUGGUAUACAUUUUGAGUAGCAAGACAAUAUGUACACUCAACACAGCUCUCUGCUGCUGCUACUAGAGAAUACCUUUCUCUGUGCUACCUGUGCCUGAGACCUGAAGAAGAUGGAAACCCAGAAUGAGCACUGACUGAACAAGAAAAAAGAAAGCUUGCUCUCUAGUCAAAGUACAAGGAAAGGAGAAGCACAGCAAGAAAGAAAACUUUUUGAAAAUAACCUCUCUAUUCCAGCCAAACAAAACGGAAAAUAAGUUGUUGCCCUACUCUCACCCAUCCUAUUUAAGAACUACUAGACCUAGAUAUCCCCCCACAAAAGAAUCUAACAAGUUGCCUCCAAAAUCUCAUUGUGGUGGUAUCAGAGAGGACUAAAUAGGGAGAAUGUGGUCUUCUACCCCACCAAGCAAUAAGGAAGUUCAGCUUUUCCUCUCAGCUUAAAUGGUGUCUUAGGAGGUCUAAUGCAAAGUCAGAACUUUUGCCAUCACUCAGCUGUACAGAACCUGCACCCACUACGUUGUCAUAGAGAUCACCUGAGAAACCAAUUGCCAACACUAGCCCUGCAGUAAAAAGGAAGGAGCUGCCCAUUCCCAUCACUCAAAUGUCAAUAGAGGUCAAGUGAGGAAUCCUGAACUUCUACCUCCAAAUAGCAGUAAUAAGGUGGUGCCCUCUAUCCCCUACCAGAGCAGAGAAAUAUUGUUAAAACAGAAGUUUUAAGUAAAAUCCAGAGUUUCAUAGCACAAUACGAAAAUGUCUGAGUUUUAAUAGACAAUCACUUAUCAUGCCAAGAACCAGGAAGAUGUCAAACUGAAUUAAAAAAAACACUCAGUUGUGGCAGUGGGCUGAGAUCGUGCUGGUGCACUCCAGCCUGGACAACAGAGUGAGACACCAUCUCAAAAAACAAACAAACAAACAAACAAAAAAAACCACUCGAUGGCAAGUUGACAGCAAUAUAAUGAAAAUAAUUGUGUAACAUCACUGAUAUUUUUUGGCUGUGUCCCCACCCAAAUCUCAUCUUGAAUUGUAACUCCCUCAAUUUCCAUGUGUUGUGGGAGGAACCCAGUGGGAGGUAAUUGAAUCAUGGGGACGGGUCUUUCCUGUGCUGUUCUCAUGAUAGUGAAUAAGUCUCAUAAGAUGUGACAGUUUUAAAAAUGGGAGUUUCCCUGCACAGGUUCUCCCUCUUGCCACUGCCAUGUAAGAAGUGGCUUUUGCCUUCCUCCAUGAUGGUGAGACCUCCCCAGCCACAUGGAACUGAAAGUCCAUUAAACUUCUUUCAUUUUUAAACUGCCCAGUC
rnacentral:lncRNA from 10 species